rnacentral:rRNA from 1 species
UACACUCCUGCGGGAGGCAGCAGUGGGGAAUUUUGGACAAUGGGCGAAAGCCUGAUCCAGCAAUGCCGCGUGUGUGAAGAAGGCCUUCGGGUUGUAAAGCACUUUUGUCCGGAAAGAAAUCCUUGGCUCUAAUACAGUCGGGGGAUGACGGUACCGGAAGAAUAAGCACCGGCUAACUACGUGCCAGCAGCCGCGGUAAUACGUAGGGUGCGAGCGUUAAUCGGAAUUACUGGGCGUAAAGCGUGCGCAGGCGGUUUGCUAAGACCGAUGUGAAAUCCCCGGGCUCAACCUGGGAACUGCAUUGGUGACUGGCAGGCUAGAGUAUGGCAGAGGGGGGUAGAAUUCCACGUGUAGCAGUGAAAUGCGUAGAGAUGUGGAGGAAUACCGAUGGCGAAGGCAGCCCCCUGGGCCAAUACUGACGCUCAUGCACGAAAGCGUGGGGAGCAAACAGGAUUAGAAACCCUAGUAGUCCCAU